rnacentral:misc_RNA from 1 species
GAUGAAGAACGUAGCGAAAUGCGAUAAGUAAUGUGAAUUGCAGAAUUCAGUGAAUCAUCGAAUCUUUGAACGCACAUUGCGCCCGCCAGUAUUCUGGCGGGCAUGCAUGUUCGAGCGUCAUUUCAACCCUCAAGCCCAGCUUGGUGUUGGGGAUCGGCACAGGCGCCCUCGGGCGCCCGCCGUCCCCUAAAUCUAGUGGCGGUCCCGCUGCAGCCUCCUCUGCGUAGUAGUUUUCUCCUCGCAAGGGCAGCUCGGUGGCGACCUCGCCGUAAAACCCCCAACUUCUGAAAGGUUGACCUCGAAUCAGGUAGGAAUACCCGCUGAACUUAAGCAUAUCAAUAAGCGGAGGA